CUCAGGUCUGUGGUUGCAAGUCGAUGCCAGUUGCAGGCGAAACGAUCCACGUAAACAGCUUAAAAUCAAGCUGCGAGCACGGUGCAGUAUAGAAGUAAGACCUGCCGCAAGCGAGCUAUUUUAGCCGCAUAUUAUUUUUUUAGCGAGAGGGGUAGUAGUGGGGAGCGCAGAUGCUUAGGAGCGAACCCUCCAGCAGGCGAGUGUGGGGGCGAAAACCAGGUCAGCUGAG
rnacentral:ncRNA from 1 species